rnacentral:rRNA from 1 species
GAUGAACGCUGGCGGCGUGCCUAAUACAUGCAAGUCGAGCGAACAGACGAGGAGCUUGCUCCUCUGACGUUAGCGGCGGACGUGUGAGUAACACGUGGAUAACCUACCUAUAAGACUGGUAUAACUACGGGAAACCGGAGCUAAUACCGGAGAAUAUAUUGAACCGCAUGGUUCAAUAGUGAAAGACGGUUUUGCUGUCACUUAUAGAUGGAUCCGCGCCGCAUUAGCUAGUUGGUAAGGUAACGGCUUACCAAGGCAACGAUGCGUAGCCGACCUGAGAGGGUGAUCGGCCACCCUGGAACUGAGACACGGUCCAGACUCCUACGGGAGGGCGCAGUAGGGAACCUUACGCAAUGGGCGAAAGCCUGACGGAGCAACGCCGAGUGAGUGAUGACGGUCUUCGGUGCGUAAAGCUCUGUUAUUAGGGAAGAACAACUGUGUACGUAAAUAUGCCCGUCUUGACGGUACCUAAUCAGAAAGCCCCGGCUAACUACGUG